GGCGCCCCUUCGAGCUGCAGGAGGCCAUCCGGGAGCUGCAGAGCGAGAAUGCCCAGCUGCAGGGCCGGGUGCAGAACCUGAGCCAGGCCCUGGGCGAGCUGCGUCUGCUCGUCUGGAACCGCUCGCGGGAUUCAGGAGCUGCGCCCGAGCACCUACUCCAUGACCACCUGCCCUGCCGGCCGGACCCGCCCCACGGCCGCGGCGCUGCCCCCCAACUCCACGCCCCUUGCCUGGGGCGGCUGGCGGCCGGCCUGAUCCUGGGGGCGCUGGCCCUGCACGGCCCCCUCCUGCUGCUGGCGGGGGACUGAGACACCGCGUGCCCCUGGCUGUGUGUGUGUGGGGGGGACUGCCCCCCACCCUGUUAGAAGCCUGAGGAGCAAAGAACAAUGAGGGGAGGGGCUGGAGUUGGGACAGAUUUGGGGUGGCCAAUCCCCCCUCACCCUACAACCCUGCAACAAUAAACAGCCUGGGGCAACAUGGAU